rnacentral:tRNA from 1 species
GUCUGGUUAGCUUAGCCGGGAGAGCACUCGCCCUGUAAGCGAGGUGACCCGGGUUCGAGUCCAGGACUGGCCG